GAAGUGCUCCCAGAUGAACUUGGCCGAGAGCAUCACCAUGGCCACACCAAGUAGGCGGGGCUAGGACCCCACCCACACCCCCUCCCUGGAAUCCCAGGGCCCACCUGGGUGAUGUUAUCCCAGAGACAGGGACAAGAGAUGAGAGGAUGGAAAUGUCUCUGGGAAAAAGGCUGCAGGAGCUGGAGGUGAUGAGCAGAGCAGGCGAAGGAAAGGGAGGCCCCUCCUCCCUCCAUGUUAGAGAAGGGAGCCCUAGAUCUGGCCACCAGCAGCUUGUGCACACCUGGGGCUGAGGGCACACAGGGCUGCACGUACACACUCAAGGCCACUGUGAGAACAGGUGAGCAGGGCCAGAGGGCUGUGGAAAGCCCGGCUGAAGGCUGCACCUCCAGGCUGAAGAGAGCUUUACCGGCAUCCGCCAGGAAGCCUGGGCUCUGGGGCUGUGUCAUUGUAGAUGACCAUUUCCAGGUCGUGGCCACAGCCCCGGUUCUGGUCACAGCUGGGCCACCAAUCCUCCUGCGCCACCCACCACUUAGCCAUCGGGCCGUCUUCAGGGCAUCGGCCAGCCUCAGCUGCUGCAGCCAGACCCUGGCGUUGUGGAAGGCUGGCCAGUCCACAUCCUGCAGCCUACGAGGAGGUCAGGUCUUUGUCAGCAAAGGUGGGAAACCAGGGGAACGGCGGCACCAGGCUCCAGAGACAUUUGAAAUGACUUCAGAAGACCCAGGGCCACUCAGGGUGACCACAUCGGACAGCUGCCCCUGACAGGCUGUGACGGAUGUUUAAGGAAGGGAUCGAUGGUCACCUGACUCUCAGGAGUGCAGGAGAGGCCACUGAGACCCAUUCAGAAGGGACUGGGUGUUGGUCCCUGUGGACUCGGCCUCUGGCUGGUGGUGAGGAGGAUUUCUCACCAGCCAUCCUCUGGCCCCUGCUGCCUAAGGGAGCAGACUCGUGUGAGCUGGGUUCCGGGAAGUCCGUCUCCAGCAGGAACUCCAGGCCAAGCGCACAUCUCUGUGAUCGUGUGUCACCAUGGCGGUGCGUGCGUGAGAGCAUGCGUCUCCAGCAGGAACCCAGGCCAAGCGCACAUCUCUGUGAUCGUGUGUCACCAUGGCGGUGCGUGCGUGAGUGCAUGCGUGUGCACUGGUCUGUGGCCUGUGGUGCGUGAGUUCCACUAGGACCCAUGUGAGGUGGAGGGUCUUCCACCUCCCCUCCCAUUCGGGCCCUCCCUGUGCCACACAGACACCCAUCUGUGCCUUCCCCUUCUGUGCCACCAAAAAUGGAAGAGAUAGACACUUAAAAGAAGCAACUCAAAUGGAAUGAAAUCGUUUCUGUUGGGGAAUGCUCAGACGUUCAAUCAUCUUAGAAAAUCCCACCCCACCUCCCGCUGCAGAUUAAUUACUGUAAGUGCAACUCCAAUCGGGCUGGUGACCCCCCAGGAAACCUCUGAAGCUGUCCCAGGCUGUUCCCAACAUGGGACCUCCACUCUGGCACACCAGGACCCGAGGCCCCUGACAGGCUCCUCGUUCCUGCCUCGCUCAAGGCUCAGGUCCCCCACCUGAAAUACCCCCUCCCACCAGCAUCUCCUGCCUCGCUCCUGCUGCCAGGUCCCCAAAAGCUCUUGUUCAUGAGCUCGCCUGCCAUCCACAGCCCCCACCAGAACCCAAGUGGCUGUGGAAUUCGCUGCCCUGAUUCUCUGCCCAGAGCCUCGGUCCAGACUGUGUUCCCUGGCGAAUUAGUGUUCAGCAUUUUUGUUUAUUUGUUUGUUCUUUAACAAAAGUUGUUUUGGUUUGAGAUUCAGCAAAAAUACACACUGCAUUCAGCUUCCUCUCCAUUCAGGAUUCAGUAAAUUGGUUGUUUUCCCGUC
rnacentral:sRNA from 1 species